GUGACCGUGACCUGGAACUCGGGAGCCCUGUCCAGCGGCGUGCACACCUUCCCAUCUGUCAGGCAGUCCUCCGGGCUCUACUCUCUCAGCAGCAUGGUGACAGUGCCCGCCAGCAACUGGGAGAGCCAGACCUUCACCUGCAACGUGGCCCACCCGGCCACCAGCACCAAGAAGGAAGUGAGAGUCAAACGAAGGGACACUACUCCCGAACCUCCAUGCGCCUGCUGCAGAUGUCCACCUGUUGUUACCCCGGGAGGGCCGUCAGUCUUCAUCUUCCCUCCAAAACCCAAGGACACCCUCUUGAUCGCCCGAGCGCCCGAGGUCACGUGUGUGGUGAUGGAUGUGACUCAGGAUGACCCCGUCAAGUUCACCUGGUACGUGGAUGGUAAGAAGGAGAACACGGGCAAGAUGAAGUCGGAGGAGGUGAAGUACAACAGCACCUGGCGCGUCGUCGGUACCCUCCCCAUCCGGCACAACGACUGGCUAGUGGGCAAGGAGUUCAAGUGCAAGGUUGAGAACAAAGCCAUGCCAGCCCCCAUCGAGAGGACCAUCUCCAGGGCCAAAGGAACUCCCCAGGAGCCACAAGUGUACAUCCUGCCCCCACACGUGGACGAGCUGACCAAGAACAAGGUCAGUGUGACCUGUCUGGUCAAAGACUUCUUCCCACCCGACAUCAACGUGGAGUUUCAGAGCAACGGGCAACCAGAGCGAGAGAACAAGUACAGCACGACCCCGCCCCAGCGGGACGCGGACGGGUCCUACUUCCUGUACAGCAAGCUCACCGUGGACAAGGACAGGUGGCAGCAGGGACACACCUUCACGUGUAUGGUCAUGCACCAGGCCCUGCACAACCACUCCACCCAGAAAUCCAUCUCCCGAAACCAGGGUAAUUGAGCCACGCGUCCGGCGCCCCAGUGAGCCCUACCCCGUGUACACACCCGGGCCCCCGGCAUGAAAUAAAGCACCCAGCACCACCCUGAGACCCUGUG